AGCGACAUCCGCUUGUUUGUUCUUGCUCAGGACUUGUCCAAGAUCACAUCUUGACUUGGCUCUUUUUGGUACACUGUGUUGCAUGCCAACAUUGAUGGAAUUUUUGUUGCUGUCGUUUGUCCCAAAAUUCACCUUGUGCUGCUCAUGUGGUUCGGGGUGAACAACGUAGUUCCUCGUGAUGCCCAGGCUGUCUUCACUUCUUAUGAUUUUGGUUUGGGCRACACGGGAUACUCGAACUCUCGGAUACAGAAAGUAAUGUUGGGUGUAUGGGGUAUAGCACUCUGUAAGCCCAGAUUGAGUGCUCUCGCCAACGAUGUUGUUUACCAGGGUCUCCAACUGUUGGGAAAAGUGCUGGUUGCCGUCGUUGAGCAAGAGAGUGUCGAAAGACAAACUGUCAAACCUCGUUCUGUAGGGGUCUGGAGGCGUACGUCCGUACGACUGAAGGCUGCUCGGGUAGGGGUACAACGACAUGUUUGCCAAGGAAUGC
rnacentral:misc_RNA from 1 species